AGAAAAUGCUUUGUAAGGUUUUAAAAUCUAUAAAAAAUGUUCUUUGUUAUUAUUUGAUUUGUUGCUAUUUCACCUUUAGCUGACAGUUGUUUGUGACCUUGCUUAUGUGAGAAAAUGCCUUCUGGUUUAUUGUUUUGAAAGCCAGAUGAUAUUUUUCAGUAGCUCAAUGGAAAUGGCAUCAUUUGUGAAGUUGAAGGGUGAAGGCAUAAAUGUUUCUUGACAUUUGAAUCAACUAUUGGUCUUCUGGGGCUUGUCCUUAUUCUCCUGCAGUCUCUAAUCAACAUGGCAUCCAGAGAGAUCCUGUUAAAACAUAAGUCAGGUCAUGUCACUCAAGUCUCUUCAAUGGCUUCUUCACAGGAAAAGCAAAGUCCUCAAAGUGCCUCCACAGCCCUAGAAAUCUGGGCCUCUGUUUCCUCUCUGACUGUUUCCUUCUCCUCUCCACUUUGCUCCCUCUGUUUUCCACACACUGACAUCCUUUCUGCUCCUUGGAUACUCCAAGCCCACUCUUGCCUCAUUGCCUUUCCAUCUGACUGUUCCCUCUGCUUGUACUAUUCACUUCCCAGAUAUGCACCUUGCUCCCUCUCACAACCUUGGGUUCCCUCGUAAAUUUUAUCUUCCCCAGAAAGCCCUCAGUGAUCACUUAGUUUCCGAUCGCAGCCUCCUCCUACCAGCUAACAAUCUCCAUCCCCCUUCCCUGCUUGCUGUUUUUCUCCAGCACUUACCUGAUAUACUGGUUAUUCUACCCAUUUAUUCAAUUUUUAUUUACGUAUUUACACUUAUGAUUUUAUAUUUGCUUCUUUACUUUUGUCUCUCCCCUCAGCUCGAGAGAGGCUAUAUUCAUCUGUGUUAAUCACUGCUGUGUUUCCUGAACAUGCCUAGAAAACAUCCUGAAGAAGGGUGCCUGAAAUUUGGAAUGACUGGCCAUAGGACUGGGCGUCGUAGCUUCCUGCCAGGCGGCCGAAGGUCGCAGGCAGGCUCUCUAGAAAGCAUGUGCAGAGCCUCCCACCCCACCCUCGGACUCCGCGGGCCACAGCUGGAGGGACCAGCCAAGGAACCGUGGCAGGAAGAGGCCAGAGGUCAGCGGGCCUCGGCCAGAGCCCGUCAGUCGGUCCCCAUUCACACACCACCAGACGAUCCUCUUGACCUGGGCAGUAGCCGCCAACCGACCGCUGAGGUGAGCCCGGUGCGCGCUUGGCUACCUGGCAUGGCUGGGAACCCCAGGAUCUCCUGGCAGAGGCGGGCAUUCUCCUGGGCCGGGUCCG